ensembl:misc_RNA 7SK 7SK RNA
GGAUGUGAGGGCGAUCUGGCUGUGACAUCUGUCACCCCAUUGAUCGCCAGGGUUGAUUCGGCUGAUCUGGCUGGCUAGGCGGGUGUCCCCUUCCUCCCUCACCGCUCCAUGUGCGUCCCUCCCGAAGCUGUGCGCUCGGUCGAAGAGGACGGCCUUCCCCGAAUAGAGACGGACGGGUCUUCGGUCGAGGGUAUACGAGUAGCUGCGCUCCCCUGCUAGAACCUCCAAACAAGCUCUCAAGAAUUGUCUAAUUUCAAGCCUUUAUGCAAAAUAGGGUCAUCACACUUUCUUGUUGUCAGCUAAGACCACCUGGCUAUCAGCUCCCUCGACCUUGAGCAAUGGUUGGGUUU